rnacentral:tRNA from 1 species
CAUUAAGAAGCUAUAUAGCAUUAACCUUUUAAGUUAAAGACUGAGAGUAUUAAAAUCUCUCCUUAAUGA